rnacentral:rRNA from 1 species
GAGGAUGGGCCUGCGUCCGAUUAGGUCGUUGGUGGGGUAAUGGCCCACCAAGCCUGCGAUCGGUACGGGCAGUGGAAGCUGAAGCCCGGAGUUGGGGACUGAGACAAGGCCCCAGGCCCUACGGGGCGCAGCAGGCGCGAAACCUCUGCAAUGCGGGAAACCGUGACAGGGGGAUCCCAAGUGCUCAUGCAUUGCAUGGGCUGUUCUUUGGUCUAAGUAACCGGAGGAGUAAGGGCUGGGCAAGACCGGUGCCAGCCGCCGCGGUAAUACCGGCAGCUCAAGUGGUAGCCGCGAUUAUUGGGCCUAAAACGUUCGUAGCCGGAUAAGUAAGUCUUUGGUUAAAUCCUGCGACUCAACCGUGGGAAUUCUAGAGAUACUGCUCGUCUUGAGACCGGGAGAGGUUGGAGGUACUCCUAGGGUAGGGGUGAAAUCCUGUAAUCCUAGGGGGACCACCUGUGGCGAAGGCGUCCAACUGGAACGGGUCUGACGGUGAGGGACGAAACCUAGGGGAGCGAGCCGGAUUAGAUACCCGGGUAGUCCUAGGCGUAAAUGAUGCGAGUUAAGUGUGGUGCAUCUACGAGAUGGCCCUGUGCUGUAGGGUAGCCGUUAA